AUGAGGUCCCGCAGGAGGAAAGUGACAAGGUCCACAGAGGGCACUAAGGAUGCAAACACCAUCCCAAGUUAAUCUGUCAGGCCUCCAGACUGUUUCCAGAGACCAUCAUCAUCCACUUCCUGCAUAGUAUGAACAGCUACGUGGCACCUCCAUGGCCAGAUACUCAGGUGAAAACACCACAGGCUAGAUUGGAAGGCCUGGCGUGGUCUGUCCCCUGCUGGACUCUCCCCCAGAUUCUUCCCUCUCCCUGCAUCUGGCAAUAUCUCCAUGCACAGCUGGGCCAAGGCCUCUGUGACUUUGAGACUUUGCAUGUACAGUUCCUUCUCCUGAAAUGCCCUUCCCUCCCCAUUCCUGCCUCUCCAAGUCCUGCUCAACCUUCAGGCUCAGUCUUACAUGUCAUGAGGGGUGUGUGUGUGUGUGUGUGUGUGUGUGUGUGUGUGUGUGUGUGUCUGUGUCUGUGUAUCAUUGUAUGGUUCUUAGCAGAGUGACAUCCAGUCAUUUAUUCACAGCCUCAUUUAACAAGUGCUAUUCCACACCUACUCCAUGCCAGCAUUGUCAUAGGGGCCACAACUUCAAAACCUACUGUCAUCCAGAGGAUUCGAAGACACACUUCUGCAAAGAGGAUGCACAAAUGACUAAAGAGCACAUUAAAAGAUGGUCAACAUCAUCAGUCAUUAGAGAAACGCAAAUCAAAUCCACAAUGAAAUACAAUUUCACACCCAUUAGAACAGCUAUUAUAUAUUUUGAAAAAUGCAGAAAAUAUCAAGUGUUGGUGAAGAUGUGGACAAAUGGGAACCCUCAUGCAUUGCUUGUGGGAAUGAAAAAUGGUGAAGCCUCCUAGAAAACCCUUUGGAAUUUCCUUCAAAAGUUAAAUACAGAAUUACCAUAUGACCCAGCACUUACACUUCUAGUUGUGUACUUAAAGGAAGUGAAAGCAUGGAUGUAACAGAUACUUGCACAUCAUUGUUCACAGCAGCGUUAUUCACAGUAGCAGUGGACCAACCCUAGUGUCCAUCAACAAAAGAAUGGAUGAACCAAAUGUGGUAUAUACAUACAAUGGAGUAUCAUUCAUCCUUAAAGAGGAAUGAAUGACAUUCUGACACAUGCUACAACAUGGAUGACCCUUGAAAACAACACGGUAAAUGAAAGGAUCCAGACACAAAAGGACAAAUAUUGCAUGAUUCUGCUUCUGUGAGCUGCCCACGAAGGCAAAUUCAUAGAAACAGAAAGUAGAAUGGUGGCUGCUUGGAACCAGGGGAUGGGGGAUGGGGAGUUGUUUUGUGUAACUGUGCAGAGUUACUGUUUGGGAUGACGGAAAUGUUCAGGAAAUAGACAGUGGUGAUGGUUGCACAACACUGUGAGUGUACCUAGUGUCAUUGAAUUGUAUCGUAUAGAAUGUUAAAAACAGUAAGUUUUAUUUCAUGGAUAUUUUACCACAGUAAAGCAAAGGAAACGAGAGGCACUUUUGUCAUCAAGAUGCCGUCAUUAUGGAGAUGAGAAUAAAAAAUAAAUAAAAAUAGAGCAUGUUGGAUAUCAA